rnacentral:rRNA from 1 species
CGGAUAGAGCCAGCGAAGUCGCUCGUAUUCAGCCAAAAGUCUGGGGUUGCCUGUCGUCGUGUUUCUAAUCGAGCACGGCGGUUUGUCUUCUCCGGAUUGAGGUGCAUUUGCGGGCGUUUGCGCUGAGACUUGCGAGGCAGCUGCGGGACCGGCGUCUAGAGGCUUCCCAUUGGGUUGAACCUGGGCGCCGUUACAGCUGUUUGCCUUGCUCGUACUGAUCUGGCCUACGGACCCUGCUCGUGCUGUUGUCAACUGGCCAAGGCAUCGCAUGCGAUGUCUAGCCUGGGGGCUGCAGCGCGGGUUGGUGUCCCCGGAUCGCCUCUCGGUGUAGAAGCUGGUCAUCUCUCCGACCCGUCUUGAAACACGGACCAAGGAGUUUAGCGUAUGCGCGAGUCAUUGGGUGUUAAAACUCACAGGCGCAAUGAAAGUGAAGGCUCGGUCGCCGGGCUGACAUGCGAGUGCCGCGGCUUCGGCCUAGGCAUGCAGCAUGGUCCCAUUGCAAUCGUUUACGAUGCAGUGGAGACAGAGCGUAUGCGCUGAG